CAGGGGGAGCCCACACUGCAGCUCUUCCUCACACUGGUGGAAGUGGCCUGGAGAAUAGCUACAGGAUGGGUUCCUGCCACACCUUACGUUGCCCCAGCAAUUUAGGAAGCGGCAGCUUUGCAGUGGCUCCUAUGCUGCCAAAGGGACAGUAAUUGUGGGAGUGGAGCUGCUGGAGAUCUGGGCAUUGACACGGAUGUCAGUGGUUCACACGUUGCUUCUCUACGGAUCAGUGGACCGUUGGCCUGAGUUAAGCCUGGCUGUUCCGUGUAGCUAAAGGUGUAAUUAACAAAGGGGUGUGAGAUCAGAGGACACAACCUUGUUCCUCUCAAUUCCUUGCAAACUGAGAGAAAAACCAGACUGCAUCUCAGCUGAGCAUUUAGCGUUGAGAAGACUGAGGGGAGAUAUGGUAGCACUCUUUAAGUACUUGAAAGGUUGUCACACAGAGGAUGGCCAGGAUCUCUUCUUGAUCAUCCCAGAGUGCAGGACAUGGAAUUAUGGGGUCAAGUUACAGGAAGUCGGAUUUCAACUGAACAUCUGGAAAAAUCUCCUAACUGUUAGAGUGGUAUGACAAUGGAACCAAUUACCUCGGGAGGUGGUGGGCUCUGCAACACUGGAGAAGUUCAAGAGGCAGCUGGACAGGCACCUGUCGGGUAUGCUUUGGCUUCGAUUCCUGCAAGGAGCAGGGAGUUGGACUCAGUCUCAACAGGCUAAACAUUCUUUCAGUCUCUCAUCAUAGGCUUUGUUUCCAAUCUCCUAACCAUCCUUGUUGCCCUUCUCUGGACUUGUUCCAGCUUGUCUGCAUCCUUCUUAAAGUGCUGUGUCCAGAACUGGAUGUAGUACUCAAGACGAGGCCUAACCAGUUCCGAACAGAUGGGAAACAAUACUUCACGUGAUUUGGAAACUCUACUUCUGUUAAUGCAGCCUAAAAUAGCACUUGAUCACACUGUUGGCUCAUAUUCAGCUUGUGAUCAACAACAAUUCCAAGAUCCUUUUUGCAUGUAGUAUUGCUGAACCAAGUAUCACCCAUCUUAUAACUGUGCACUUGGUUUCUUUUUCAUAGUUGUAGAACUUUGCACUUGUCCCUGUGAAAUGGAGGGAGGGAGAGAUCCAUUCUCACCUCUGCCCAUCACUCUCUGUAAACAAGAACAGAAAAUCUGCCUCCCCUCACUCUCUUUGGUUGUUUAAAGUGCCAACAUUGGGAGAAACAGCAAGAUUAUGAUUUCCAGGGGGUGGAGUUUGGAGGGAUGAAUGUUCCACCAAUAGGAGUCGGAACGGGCAGAGGAAUGGGGAAACUGGGCACAGGCAGUGAGCCGC